GAUGAACGCUGGCGGCGUGCCUAAUACAUGCAAGUCGAGCGAACAGACGAGGACUUUGUUCCUCGGACGUUUGCGGCACACGUGUGUGUAACAUGUGGAUAACCUAUCGAUGAGACGGGUAUAACUUGGGGAAACUGGAUCUUAUACCAGAAGAGUUGUUGAUGCACAAGGUUUAAUUGUAAAAUGCGGUUGUACUAUUACUUGUAGGUCGUGCGGUGCCGCAUUUGCUAGUUGGUAAGGUAACGGCUUACCACGGCAACGAUUAGUAGCCCACCUGAGAGGGUGAUCGGCCACACUGGACCUGAGCAACGGUCCAGACUCCUAGGGGAGGCAGCAGUAGGAAAUCUUCCGCAAUGGGCGAAAGCCUGACGGGGCAACGCCGCGUGAGUGAUGAAGGUCUUCGGAACGUAAAACUCUGUUAUUAGGAAAGAACAAAUGUGUAAGUAACUGUGCACAUCUUGACGGUACCUAAUCAGAAAGCCACGGCUAACUACGUG
rnacentral:rRNA from 1 species